AUACGUAGGUGGCAAGCGUUGUCCGGAUUUACUGGGUGUAAAGGGCGUGUAGGCGGAGCGGCAAGUCAGAAGUGAAAUCUCUGGGCUCAACCCGGAAACUGCUUUUGAAACUGUCGCCCUUGAGUAUCGGAGAGGCAGGCGGAAUUCCUAGUGUAGCGGUGAAAUGCGUAGAUAUUAGGAGGAACACCAGUGGCGAAGGCGGCCUGCUGGACGACAACUGACGCUGAGGCGCGAAAGCGGGGGGAGCAAACAGGAUUAGAUCCCCUGGUAGUCCACGCCGUAAACGAUGGAUACUAGGUGUGGGGGGACUGACCCCCUCCGUGCCGCAGUAAACACAAUAAGUAUCCCACCUGGGGAGUACGACCGCAAGGUUGAAACUCAAAGGAAUUGACGGGG
rnacentral:rRNA from 1 species